GCCGCGAUGGUAAGCUCGUCCUUAUUCGGUCAAGGCAUACCAUGGACUUGUCGCCAUCAUCUCCUCCAGGAAAGUCCUUGGACAUGUGGUCAGCAGCUUAAAAUCAUGUUGAUCAUCUCCACCUGACGACCAGAGUCGCUCUUUUCACCUCGGUUACUAUGCUUAACCGGGUUGAAACCACGACAAAGCCGUUGAAAGAUGGAUGUCUGUGCUUUCUUGCUCUUAAAAUUCCCUCCCGCAAUGCCAUGUUCAGGUUUUUGCGGGCCGUUAUACGACGAAAUCGCCCGAGGCUAUGAGUUCUUCUUCGAUUGGCUGGCCCAACAACCCCCAGCCGUGGUCACGGAUGCCUCUGGGAAGCCAUACGAGCUGCGCAUGCAGCUUCGGCUGAUAUCCCAUAAUUGCACCGAGGAAGGCAGGGCGGCCGCCAUGACCUCCCUCAUCCACGGCAUUGCCG
rnacentral:lncRNA from 1 species